GACGGAGGAUGCAAGUGUUAUCCGGAAUCACUGGGCGUAAAGCGUCUGUAGGUGGUCAAAUAAGUCAACUGUUAAAUCUUGAGGCUCAACCUCAAAAUCGCAGUCGAAACUAUUAGACUAGAGUAUAGUAGGGGUAGAGGGAAUUUCCAGUGGAGCGGUGAAAUGCGUAGAGAUUGGAAAGAACACCGAUGGCGAAGGCACUUUACUGGGCUAUUACUAACACUCAGAGACGAAAGCUAGGGUAGCAAAUGGG
rnacentral:rRNA from 1 species